AUGACCCGAUCCGACCCUGUUUUGACCCAUGAGUCGACCCGAUCGUUGAAACAGGUUCAAGUCGGAAUGGGUUCAGGUUGAAACAGGUUCGGGUUGGAAUGGGUUUCGGGUCGGUCGGGUUGGUUUAGGAAAAGACUUUUGUUGUUAAAAGGACUUACAACUUACACGUUGUCAUUUGUGUCGUUAAAAGUAUUAGGUGAUGUCGACCCAUAACAAAAAUAAAAAAUAAAACAGUAACAUAAUAUUGAAGAACAAUAAGCAACAUAAUAUUGAAGAACAAUAAGUGGUUGUAUCGCCUAGGAAAAUUCUGCACUUUGCUGCGAUUUUUCUGCAGAUAAAAACAUUUUAAAAAAUCCUCAGAUUGAUACUCAUUUUCAACUCCUCAUUUAAGCUUUUUAAACAGUUUUGAUUGGGUUUAAGAUGAACAAAAAGCAAGUCAAUAUGAAUAAGGUUGCAACAUUAUUCAUAGGACUAUACUAUGUAGUAAUUUAAUCGUUUAAACAUCAAGAAGUUUAUGACCUUUUAUAAUUUUAUCUACUCAAAAUACUCAAAUAUAAUUUACCAACAAACUUAACGACAAACUAGAGAAGAUUUGACGAAAAUUGAUUAUAAAAACACGUUCAUUUUCAUUUAGGCAAUUCAACAACAAACAGUUGGUGUGCAAGGGUUUUCAGAGGGAAAAAAUAGAGCAUAUUUUCUGAGAUUAUAGCAACAAAUUGAGGAAAAAAGUAGAGCACAUUGGUGUUUGGGAUUCUUUCUCAAGAAAUAAGUCAUAAGUGAGAAGUUGGAAAUUCUAACUUCUCAACACACAAAACCUUUUUAAAUAAGUUAAUCUAAAC
rnacentral:lncRNA from 1 species